rnacentral:rRNA from 1 species
UACGGAGGAUGCAAGCGUUAUCCGGAUUUAUUGGGUUUAAAGGGUGCGUAGGCGGCCGAGUAAGUCAGCGGUGAAAUUUUGCAGCUUAACUGUAAUAGUGCCGUUGAUACUGCAUGGCUAGGAUUUGGUUGCUGUGGGUGGAAUGUGUGGUGUAGCGGUGAAAUGCUUAGAUAUCACACAGAAUAUCAAUUGCGAAGGCAGCUCACAAAGCCAAGAUUGACGCUGAGGCACGAAAGUGUGGGGAUCAAA